CACGCCGUAAACGGUGGGCGCUAGGUGUGGGUUUCCUUCCACGGGAUCCGUGCCGUAGCUAACGCAUUAAGCGCCCCGCCUGGGGAGUACGGCCGCAAGGCUAAAACUCAAAGGAAUUGACGGGGGCCCGCACAAGCGGCGGAGCAUGUGGAUUAAUUCGAUGCAACGCGAAGAACCUUACCUGGGUUUGACAUACACCGGACCGCCCCAGAGAUGGGGUUUCCCUUGUGGUCGGUGUACAGGUGG
rnacentral:rRNA from 1 species